AUCUUUGGGAUCCACCUGCCACUACUUUUGCUAUGGUGGUGACUACACACCAGGUUUUCCUAGGAUGAGAGGAUUCUCAAGAUGGGAUACUUUCCUGCUAUAACUAGAAAAAACUCUAGAGCAAAUGAAAAGAGCCUGGAACCUUGAAUUGUGGUUCACGGACCAGUAGUAUGGCCGUCAGCUAAGGGAUCUUACAGAAUGGGACCUCUUCAUUGAAGUUGGAAGAAUUCUCAUUAGAAUUUGAGGCUGAUCUCUGAGGUUAAAUCACUUUUUUGACCUCGAAGAUCUUUCAAGAAGUAUUCAUAAGAAGCUGUCUCUGGAGCCUUCCACUUUAAGGUAACAAAUGAUCUGAACUAU